AUUGAACGCUGGCGGCAGGCCUAACACAUGCAAGUCGAGCGAGCGGCGGACGGGUGAGUAAUGUCUGGGAAUCUGCCCGAUGGAGGGGGAUAACUACUGGAAACGGUGGCUAAUACCGCAUACCAUCAGAUGUGCCCAGAUGGGAUUAGCUAGUAGGUAGGGUAAUGGCUCACCUAGGCGACGAUCCCUAGCUGGUCUGAGAGGAUGACCAGCCACACUGGAACUGAGACACGGUCCAGACUCCUACGGGAGGCAGCAGUGGGGAAUAUUGCACAAUGGGCGCAAGCCUGAUGCAGCCAUGCCGCGUGUGUGAAGAAGGCCUUAGGGUUGUAAAGCACUUUCAGUGGGGAGGCGUUACCGGCAGAAGAAGCACCGGCUAACUCCGUGCCAGCAGCCGCGGUAAUAC
rnacentral:rRNA from 1 species